rnacentral:lncRNA from 1 species
AUUGCUUUCUACGAUGACAAUCACAUUUCCAUUGAUGGUGACACAGAAAUUGCCUUCACUGAGAACGUGGACAAGCGUUUCGAAGCCCUUGGAUGGCAUGUUAUUUGGGUGAAGAAUGGAAACACCGGGUAUGACGAGAUCCGUGCUGCCAUUAAGGAAGCUAAAGCUGUUACAGACAAGCCUACAUUGAUCAAGGUAACUACAAAUUCUGAACCAUCAAACAUCAGUUGGUCUAAAGACCUUUGACAUUGUGUUUACCAUAUUGCUUGUAUCCGGAUAAAUUCAGGUCACUACUACCAUUGGUUAUGGGUCUCCCAACAAGGCGAACUCAUACAGUGUCCAUGGAGCUGCACUUGGCGAGAAGGAAGUUGAGGCUACCAGAAAUAACCUUGGAUGGCCGUAUGAGCCGUUCCAGGUACCUGACGAUGUUAAAAGGUGAGUAAAUCCAAAGCAGGCUUCUGUUAGGUUUUAUUUCUUUGAAGUUGCUUUGAUGACUUACCGUUUGAGUCACACUUUUCUAGCCACUGGAGCCGUCAUACACCUGAAGGAGCUGCUCUUGAAUCUGACUGGAGUGCAAAGUUUGCAGCAUAUGAAAAGAAGUACCCAGAGGAAGCUGCAGAGUUGAAAUCUAUUAUCUCUGGUGAAUUACCUACUGGCUGGGAAAAGGCUCUACCUGUAAGUAGAACUCUCUUUGUAGUCGGUACAAUUCAAUUGGUAUUCUAGAUAUGGGUUUGAGAACAUCUUUCGUUUUCCCUUUUUAGACAUACACACCAGAGUCUCCGGGUGAUGCCACCAGGAACUUGUCACAACAAUGUCUUAACGCUAUUGCUAAAGUUGUUCCCGGAUUCCUUGGUGGAAGUGCUGACCUUGCAUCAUCCAACAUGACAUUGCUGAAAGCCUCCGGUGACUUCCAAAAGGCCACACCUGAAGAAAGAAAUCUUAGGUUUGGUGUUAGGGAGCACGGAAUGGGAGCCAUAUGCAACGGAAUUGCCCUUCACAGCCCUGGUCUUAUUCCGUACUGUGCAACUUUCUUUGUGUUCACUGACUACAUGAGAGGUGCCAUGAGAAUCUCGGCUCUGUCUGAAGCUGGUGUUAUCUAUGUUAUGACCCAUGAUUCUAUUGGUCUUGGAGAGGAUGGACCAACCCAUCAGCCCAUUGAGCACAUUGCAAGUUUCCGUGCAAUGCCCAACACUCUUAUGUUCCGUCCUGCUGAUGGCAACGAAACAGCUGGUGCAUACAAGAUCGCUGUCACCAAGCGUAAGACACCAUCUAUCCUAGCUCUGUCUAGGCAAAAGCUGCCUCAUCUUCCAGGUACAUCCAUUGAAGGAGUUGAAAAGGGAGGAUAUACAAUUUCGGACGACUCUGCAGGCAACAAACCCGAUGUGAUUUUGAUUGGAACUGGAUCUGAGCUAGAGAUUGCUGCACAGGCUGCGGAGGUGCUUAGGAAAGAAGGCAAAACCGUUAGAGUUGUAUCUUUCGUGUGCUGGGAGCUAUUUGACGAGCAAUCAGAUGAAUACAAGGAGAGUGUGUUGC